rfam:Ictidomys tridecemlineatus contig019823, whole genome shotgun sequence.
UGGGGAGUGGCUCAGUGGUAAAGCACUUGCCUAGAAUGCAAGAGGCCCUGGGUUCUAUCACCAGUGCUGUAA